UGUUCUACGUCCCCCACAGUUCCAUGUAUCCAUGAAAACUCCUGAUCAAAGCCAUGAUUAACAUUUUGAUUAAAGACUAGUUGAAGAAGCUGCUUUCUUAGGCUUGGACAUUUCUUCCAUGGUUUUAAGGUGUAGGGCAUUUUCAGUGCAGAAUUCAACUGGGUUGUUUGAAAGUUCAAAACAUUGCAAUGCAUAAGCUAUAGUCAUAGCAUCACUGGUAGGAUUAGAAAAUUUUGCACGAGAUAAUUUAGCCAUUUCUUUAAGUUUCUUUCUCCUUAAUUUUUCCUGCUUGUCCAAGUUUAUCUCAUUGCCUAGGCUGUCAGAUAUCCCAUCCUGCUCUAAGCCAUUGCUAUUAUCAUGACUUCCUACAAACUCCAUCAGAAAAGGAUUAGUCAAGCUCAAUGCUGCAGCUGCUGCAACUGCAUAUCCCAGGACCAGAUUUGCUCUAGCAUAGUUUUUCACCUUCCUCAUAAUUUGGAUAACAGUAAGAAGCAUCCUAGAGUGGCGGGGGGGGGGGGGGGAANNNAAAUGAGCCAUGGCCUUCCCAAGGGGUGUCAAUCUUCCACUGUCAUCAAGUGCUUCAAGAGUCUUCAAGCAUUUUUCUGCUUCUACCAAGGCAGUGGCCUCCGGAGGAGUUGGAAAUGGGAAAUUUGCAACCUUAUUAAUACUCAUGGACUUCAGGACAAGAACAAUGCUAUCAACAGGCACUUUAGAGAUCUCAGCACAAGAG
rnacentral:misc_RNA from 1 species